rnacentral:rRNA from 1 species
GACGAACGCUGGCGGCGUGCUUAACACAUGCAAGUCGAGCGGUAAGGCCCUUUCGGGGGUACACGAGCGGCGAACGGGUGAGUAACACGUGGGUGACCUGCCCUCAGCUCUGGGAUAAGCCUGGGAAACCGGGUCUAAUACCGGAUAUGACUCCAUGACGCAUGUUGUGGGGUGGAAAGCCUUGUGCGGCUGAGGAUGGGCCCGCGGCCUAUCAGCUUGUUGGUGGGGUGANGGCCUACCAAGGCGACGACGGGUAGCCGGCCUGAGAGGGCGACGGCC